GGUGACCUCGGAUUGCAGGUAGGGA
rnacentral:rRNA from 1 species